AAAAUAAUAAGUUGACUUAAGAUUCAUUAUUUCCAUGAGAUAAAUAUGAGACACUCAAAGGUCGGAAUAUAUGCAAUGUUUUAGCGCCACCAAACCUCUAGUUCAUUCUUCAACCAACAUUGUUCAACUAUGAUUACAAAUAAAACUAGAAAGUUUUAUUAUUAUUUUCGUACAAAGCAAGAAAAGAUGAGGAAAACACACAAAUCACACGAGAAAAGGUAAAUACAUAAUAUGGGGUUGUAGGGUUGGUUGCAAUUGGACACUAAUGUGCCAAUCUACCAAUAAUUUGCAUUAUAACACACAAUUAGAUCUAACACAUCUACAGCAAAUCCAACAAUCAUCUUUACAAUCAUUGUAAACACAAUCCCUCCCACAAGUCAUAACAUUAAGUGUUGAGAGUAGGCUCUUCUCAAGUCCUCUGAGAUCACGAUCAAUAUCCCGUGUAGCCAGUACUUGUGUCUUUGAGAGCCAUGGCACGUCAACUGAAAAGUUUCGUUAAUAGUAUUCGGGAUUAAAUAUAUAUGUAUAAAAAGUAAUAUUUGACAUAUAUACACUAUAAUUUUCUUGUAAAAUAUGUUCAACUAACCACCUUUCAUCAAAUUUAACUCCGACUCCGCAUAUACACAUAUGUACGUACACAAUCACUUAUGUAACCAUAUAUAUAGAGUAGCAAACACAAUAAGUAAAAUUGCUAUAUAGAGAUAAGAGAGAUAGAAACUAACUAGUGGUUGUUAUGAGAAGAAAGGUUAGAACGAAAGCAAACCUAAGCAACGCCAUGCUAAUAAUAGCUCUUUAUGAUUUAUGAAAUGUUUUUGUGAGCAUAUAAUUGCUAUUCGAAGGGGUGUAAUUUAUAGACCGUCCCCUCUAAUGAUUGAUGAGGCUCUAGAAUUAUGGAUUACAAUUGUUU
rnacentral:lncRNA from 1 species